GGGGUGAUGGCGCAGUUGGGAGCGCGUUAGACUGAAGCUAGAAACUUCGGCCCUCUCAUCAUCAAUAGAUGCUGAUAUCUAAAGGUCACUGGUUCGAUCCCGGUUCACCCCA
rnacentral:tRNA from 1 species